rnacentral:rRNA from 1 species
GAUGAACGCUGGCGGCGUGCUUAACACAUGCAAGUCGAACGAUGAAGCCCAGCUUGCUGGGUAGAUUAGUGGCGAACGGGUGAGUAACACGUGAGUAACCUGCCCUUCACUCUGGGAUAAGCCUGGGAAACUGGGUCUAAUACCGGAUAGGAGCGACCAUCGCAUGGUUGGUUUUGGAGUGAUUUAUCGGUUUUGGAUGGACUCGGGCCCUAUAAGCUUGUUGGUGGGGUAAUGGCUCCCAAAGGCGAACGCGGGUAGCCGGCCUGAGGGGGUGACCGGCACCACUGGGACGGGAGACGGGCCCGGCUUCCUCCGGGAGGCAGCAGUGGGGAAUUUGGCACAAUGGGCCAAGGCCUAUUGCAGCGCCGCCGCGUGAGGAAUAACGGCCUUCGGGUUGUAACCCUCUUUCCGAAGGAAGGAAGCUAAUGUGACGGUACCUAGAGAAGAAGCACCGGCUAACUACGUG